GCGGCAGUUUCUAAAUCCCAACUCCCCAGAGCUCUGUGUGGUGCCUACAGGGUGCCAUGAAGAACAAAAAGCCACUGAAGGCUUCAGGCUGCUAAGCAGCAGAUACUGGUGGCCGGCCCACACCCCGCUUCUCACGUUGAUGCUAACCCAGGGCUCUCUACAGGGUACCACCCACUGGCUGACGUUGUCACUUUCGUCCAGGGCUUGUUCUCACUUUUCCUUCUACUUGGCUGGCUUGUUCCAGCUCAACAUACAGCCAAGGCAGAGAACAGCCACGUGUGUGCCAUUCUUUCGUCCCAGAUUUUGUCACCUGUCCUGAGACAGUGCACCCAUCUACAAAGUCUUGGUUUCUGGUUUCGUGCAGACACGGCAGAUCUACCUGUCACGGACACCUCGGCUGGAACACCGGCUCCUCUGCAGAGCCACAGCUGCCCGCCCCCAUGUGUGCUACUGGUUCACUUUUCAGUGUCCCCUGCUGGAGGUAAACACCAUAGGGACAAGGGCAGUGCCUACCGCAUCCACCCUACAGUCUACACAGAUGGACAGAGUUAUAUGGAUGAGUUCAAUGUCGGCCUGGGCUACGAGACCAUGUCACAGAGACAAGAUAAUGAAGUACGGUCACAAAGGAAAGAGGUUAGGAGCCAAAGGAAAACGAGAAGAGAAAGAGUCGACUGUCAACCAUCGCUGGGGAAGGAGGCACACACAGGCUAAGAGGAGGGGGCACGCCAGUGGAAAAUGAAUCUGCAGACACACAACGCGGGGCAAGCCAAAGUCAUGAGUUCCAGGCCCACCUUCUGGCCACCCCUUCCCCAGGACAAGGAUGCUCAGCAAGCCACUCUUACCUCCUCUGCGGUGACCAUGGCGAUCACGUUCACCCCCUGCUCCCACACCAUCUGCCAGAAGUCAUGGCAGGUAUGUGGCAGGGGUCCCUGAGUGGCGAUGUAGUGCCAUUCUGCCCCACCAACCACCACCUGCAAGGCAAGGGAAGGAUAAGUAAGCCGGGCUGGUGGAAGAACGCUCGAUUUUAAUUCUUCUGGACCAAGUCGACUGGUGCGAUCCUAAAAACCCAAAGCCACACACAGUAGAUGACACACUUCCUAGAAAGUCAGACUUUCCUGACCUUUUUGUGCACACAACAGGCAGUACCUGCAAACUAGAAUGGAUUAAAAGCGUACACAUGGGCUGAGGAGAUGCUCAGUAGGCAAAGUGCCUUCUGCACAAGCGUGAGGACCCGAGUAAAGACCCCCAGCACCCACAUAUACGCUAGGUGGUGUGUGCCUGUUAUCCCAGGGCUGGGAGGUUAAAGAGCAAGGGUCCCCGGGCUCAAUGACUACACUGUGGACAAAGUGAAUCCAGGCUCAGUCAAAGACCUCAAAAAUAAGGUGGAGGGGCUGGGUGAGACGGUUGGUGGUGAGGGUGCCUGACAUUAACUCUGAUACCCUAAACAUGACCCCCAGGAUCCACGUCAUGGAAGGAGAGAACCAACUCUUGCCAGUUGUCCUCUGACAUACACACACACACACACACGACAUGGGCACACACACAGAAAGACACAGACACACAAAAUAAAAUGUAAUAAUAAACUUACGAGUGAUACAGAAGAUAAA